UACGUAGGGUGCAAGCGUUAAUCGGAAUUACUGGGCGUAAAGCGUGCGCAGGCGGUUAUGCAAGACAGAUGUGAAAUCCCCGGGCUUAACCUGGGAACUGCACUUGUGACUGCAUAGCUGGAGUACGGUAGAGGGGGAUGGAAUUCCGCGUGUAGCAGUGAAAUGCGUAGAUAUGCGGAGGAACACCGAUGGCGAAGGCAGUCCCCUGGACCUGUACUGACGCUCAGGCACGAAAGCGUGGGGAGCAAACAGG
rnacentral:rRNA from 1 species